GGUGAAAAUCAAAGAAUAUAAAAUCCUGAAGGUGGACGAUACGCACCUUGAGGGGCAAUCUGGCUGAUGCCGAUGUUGAACAAUGUUUGAACUUAUAGCAACUCCUUCAGCUCCAGGAUCUUGAAGUCGUGCAUGGUUGCCAACUCUUGCCUCAGGCAUUCAUUUAUUGAAGGCUCUUUUAGUGCAGUCUCUUAAGGUUUACCCCAAGCAACGAAGCCCCCCUCCUCGCCG
rnacentral:lncRNA from 1 species